CGGCGAACGGGUGAGUAACGCGUAGGAAUCUACCUUUUAGUGGAGAAUACCCUCGAGAAAUCGAGGUUAAUACUGCAUAAGUCUAGUAAUAGAGAAAGAUGGCCUCUUGCUGUCGCUAGAAGAUGAGCCUGCGUACUAUUAGCUAGUUGGUGGGGUAAAGGCCUACCAAGGCAAUGAUGGUUAGCCGGCCUGAGAGGGUGUACGGCCACACUGGAACUUAGACACGGUCCAG
rnacentral:rRNA from 1 species